GACGAACGCUGGCGGCGUGCUUAACACAUGCAAGUCGAACGGAAAGGCCCUGCUUUUGUGGGGUGCUCGAGUAGCGAACGGGUGAGUAACACGUGAGUAACCUGCCCUUGACUUUGGGAUAACUUCAGGAAACUGGGGCUAAUACCGGAUAGGAGCUCCUGCUGCAUGGUGGGGGUUGGAAAGUUUCGGCGGUUGGGGAUGGACUCGCGGCUUAUCAGCUUGUUGGUGGGGUAGUGGCUUACCAAGGCUUUGACGGGUAGCCGGCCUGAGAGGGUGACCGGCCACAUUGGGACUGAGAUACGGCCCAGACUCCUACGGGAGGCAGCAGUGGGGAAUAUUGCACAAUGGGCGGAAGCCUGAUGCAGCAACGCCGCGUGCGGGAUGACGGCCUUCGGGUUGUAAACCGCUUUCGCCUGCGACGAAGCGUGAGUGACGGUAAUGGGUAAAGAAGCACCGGCUAACUACGUG
rnacentral:rRNA from 1 species